GUUUGAUCCUGGCUCAGAUUGAACGCUGGCGGCAUGCUUUACACAUGCAAGUCGAACGGUAACAGGGAGCUUGCUCCGCUGACGAGUGGCGAACGGGGUGAGUAAUGCAUCGGAACGUACCCAGUCGUGGGGGAUAACGUAGCGAAAGUUACGCUAAUACCGCAUACGUCCUGAGGGAGAAAGCGGGGGACCGUAAGGCCUCGCGCGAUUGGAGCGGCCGAUGUCGGAUUAGCUAGUUGGUAGGGUAAAGGCCUACCAAGGCGACGAUCCGUAGCGGGUCUGAGAGGAUGAUCCGCCACACUGGGACUGAGACACGGCCCAGACUCCUACGGGAGGCAGCAGUGGGGAAUUUUGGACAAUGGGCGAAAGCCUGAUCCAGCCAUGCCGCGUGAGUGAAGAAGGCC
rnacentral:rRNA from 1 species